rnacentral:rRNA from 1 species
UACGUAGGUGGCAAGCGUUGUCCGGAAUUAUUGGGCGUAAAGAGCUCGUAGGCGGUUUGUCGCGUCGAAUGUGAAAACCCGGGGCUCAACCCCGGGCCUGCAUUCGAUACGGGCAGACUAGAGUUCGGUAGGGGAGUCUGGAAUUCCGGGUGUAGCGGUGGAAUGCGUAGAGAUCCGGAAGAACACCGGUGGCGAAGGCGGCCUGCUGGGCAGUGGCUGACGCUGAGGCGCGACAGCGUGGGGAGCAAACAGG